GCCUCCGUAGCUCAGUUGGUAGAGCGCCUCACUUGUAAUGAGGAUGUCGCGGGUUCGACUCCUGUCGGAGGCU
rnacentral:tRNA from 4 species